UACGAAGGGGGCUAGCGUUGCUCGGAAUUACUGGGCGUAAAGCGCACGUAGGCGGCUUUCUAAGUCGGGGGUGAAAUCCUGGAGCUCAACUCCAGAACUGCCUUUGAUACUGAAGAUCUUGAGUUCGGGAGAGGUGAGUGGAACUGCGAGUGUAGAGGUGAAAUUCGUAGAUAUUCGCAAGAACACCAGUGGCGAAGGCGGCUCACUGGCCCGGUACUGACGCUGAUGUGCGAAAGCGUGGGGAGCAAACAGGG
rnacentral:rRNA from 1 species